rnacentral:rRNA from 1 species
GGACGAACGCUGGCGGCGUGCUUAACCCCUGCAAGUCGAACGGAAAGGCCCUGCUUUUGUGGGGUGCUCGAGUGGCGAACGGGUGAGUAACACGUGAGUAACCUGCCCUUGACUUUGGGAUAACUUCAGGAAACUGGGGCUAAUACCGGAUAGGAGCUCCUGCUGCAUGGGGGGGGUUGGAAAGUUUCGGCGGUUGGGGAUGGACUCGCGGCUUAUCAGCUUGUUGGUGGGGUAGUGGCUUACCAAGGCUUUGACGGGUAGCCGGCCUGAGAGGGUGACCGGCCACCAUGGGACUGAGGUAAGGCCCAGACUCCUCAGGGAGGCAGCAGUGGGGAAUAUUGCACAAUGGGGGGAAGCCUGAUGCAGCAACGCUGGGUGCGGGAAAACGGGCUUCGGGUUGUAAACCGCUUUCGCCUGUGACGAAGCGUGAGUGACGGUACUGGGUAAAGAAGCCCCGGCUAACUACGUG